rnacentral:lncRNA from 1 species
AGAAUUGUAUGUAGACGUGUUUGAGAUCCCUUGCCCCUCCAGCUAAGGCUCUGAGAGGGAUGUACACACCAGGUUCAUCUUGUCAGACUGUAACUCGAUACAAACUUUUCAAGCAUGUGCUUGAGGGCCAACAAGAAUAAAGUAUAUUUUGGGACCAAUUUUGCAAAUACUCCGGUAGCUGAAAUGGUGUAAGCAACUUUUGAAUAAUUUAUUUUCUUUAACCCUGGGUUCGAAUGCUGCUGCUACCUAACUGAUUUUAUUUUAAAGGCCAAUAUUUUUUUUUUUGUUUUUGUGCCAGCCAAAUGUCAGGCACGGCCCUGCAUCUUGUCCAACCCAUUCAUUUUCAUCACUCUCUUUCCGUCGAGUGUGCGAUUCAUUGCUUGCUGUCUGUAACUUACACCACUGAAAACAGGUGUGCUGGUCCCGUUAGAAAAAAAAGGGACGGUGUUUGGGCCAUCAGGUUCGCGCGGUUUCUCGAUUGUCAUGACGGUUUAAUGCGUUAGAUUAAGGGGCAACGUAAUCAAGG